CGAAAGCCUGACGGAGCAAUACCGCGUGAGGGAGGAAGGCUCUUGGGUUGUAAACCUCUUUUCUCAGGGAAGAAAAAAUGACGGUACCUGAGGAAUAAGCAUCGGCUAACUCUGUGCCAGCAGCCGCGGUAAUACAGAGGAUGCAAGCGUUAUCCGGAAUGAUUGGGCGUAAAGCGUCCGCAGGUGGUUUUGUAAGUCUGCUGUUAAAGCGUGCAGCUUAACUGCAUAAAGGCGGUGGAAACUACAAGACUAGAGUACGUUAGGGGUAGAGGGAAUUCCCAGUGUAGCGGUGAAAUGCGUAGAGAUUGGGAAGAACACCAGUGGCGAAGGCGCUCUGCUAGGACUGUACUGACACUGAGGGACGAAAGCU
rnacentral:rRNA from 1 species